GAUAAUAGCACAAUCCUAUUUAAGAGUCCACAUCAACAAUUAGGGUUUACGAACUUGAUGUUGGAUCAGGACACCCAAAUGGUGCAACUGCUUUUAAAGGUUCAUUUGUUCAAUGAUUAAAGUCCUGCAUGAUCUGAGUUCAGAUCGGAGAAAUCCAGAUA
rnacentral:ncRNA from 1 species